UAAAACUACAACACAUACAAAAGCCCCUAUGAUCAUAACAAACACCCCAAAUACAGCUUUCGACACUGUUUUAAUCGAUACAAUUGAACCAUUACCACGAACAGAACAUGGUAUUGAGUAUGCGAUAACUAUAAUAUGCGACCUUACAAAAUAUCUAGUUACAAUUCCAGUAGCAGAUAAAAGCGCAAAAACAGUAGCCAAAGCGAUUUUGAAUCUUUUGUACUAAAGUACGGUCCUAUGAAGACGUUCAUAACAAACAUGGGUACUGAGUACAGAAAUUCACUUAUACAAGACCUGUGCAAAUAUAUGAAAAUCAGUAAUAUAGUUUCAACUGCACAUUAUCACCAGACCUUAGGAACAGUAGAAAGAAGUCAUCGAACAUUUAACGAAUAUAUUCGUUCAUACAUAUCGAUCGACAAAGAUGAUUGAUACAUAUGGAUAAAUUAUUUCACAUAUUGUUUCAAUACUACUCCAUCAACCGUACAUGAAUACUGUCCAUUUGAACUUGUUUAUGGUAGAUUACCGAGACAAUUCCUAGAAUUUAAUAACUUACAAAAAAUAGAUCCAAUAUAUAACAUAGAUGACUAUGCAAAAGAAUUUAAGUUUAGAUUACAAGUAGCACAUAAAAGAGCAAAAUUAAUGAUAGAAAAAGAAAAACAAAAACGAAAAUUAGAAUAUGAUAAAAAGUAAAUGACUUAAAGUUAGAAGUAGGAAAUCUAGUGUUACUUAAAAAUUAUACGGGUCAUAAAUUAGACAACCAAUACUUAGGACAUUACAAAGUAAUAAAAAUAGAAGAUAGAAACAAUAUAGUAGUAGAUGUGGGAAAAAAGAAGCCACAAACAGUUAAUAAGAAUAGACUAAAAUUAUUCAAAAAUUAACACAAUUACAAAUUAAAACAAAGUUAAAAAAAAAAAUAAUAAUAAUAAUAUAUAAUUUUCUUUUCUUACUUAAAAUCAAUUCAUUUACUCUAAAUUUAAAUACCUGUUAAUAACGUUUAUUACUACACAAAAAAAAAUAUAUAUAUAUAUCUAUUAAUAAUUAAUAUACUCCAUAUUACAUACAUUAAAAAUAACUUCAUAUUACAUAUAUACGUUAUUUUUCAAAAGGAGGGAGAUGUGGUAUGCACAUAUAGCGAGGUGGCACUGUAACCAAAAUAUCGCUGUAUGUCAACCGGUGUGCAUAUCACACACUCCUCCAUAUAUACAUAUAGAUAUAAAUAUAUAUGUAUACUAAAUGACAGUUACUUAUGAUAAGCUGUAAUAUGUAUGAAUAUAUUGAGAGAGUAACGAAUAUGAACAGUUAAGCAGCGAAGCUUUCGUUACAGUUACAUUCCGACUCGAGUGCAUGCAUAUGUAUAUGCACACAAGACUCUCGCUCACUCUCGCUAAUAUGCUUUGUCGCAUAUUCUUAGCAUAUGUAAUGUAAAGAGUAAUAAAUAGAUAUGCAGCCGCUUCGCUGCCGGCUUCGCCGCGUGCUUUUUCUUACAAUGUACUUAGGCUAAGAUCAUGCUAAGACUUUUGGAAUAAAUCAUUAUGAAAAGUAAAUCAAAAGGCACAGACGUGCCGGUGUUAUCAUUUGUCAAUUAUUCUCGACACGUGCCAACAGUUUGGUACAGUUGGGCACCAAUAAAAGAUAACAUAUCACAUGGCGACCGUGACAUAGUCCUGGAGGACUGGACGACGACCAAGCAGAAGAUUGAAAUUAUCAGCGAAGACUCAAAUCAUCGUCUCUGGAUUGGCAUUGAAAUCUGCAACAAAAAAAAAAUCGAAAGAGAA